rnacentral:tRNA from 1 species
GAUCCGGUGGGCGAAUGGUUAAGCCACGAGGCUUUCAACCUCGUAAUUGCGGGUUCGAGUCCCGUCCGGAUCUCCA